GCGGCGGGGGCGGGCACAGGGCCGGAGCCGCCCGACCCAGGGGCUCAGCGCGGCGACUCUGGCCCGGCUCGGGGCGGCGGCUCCCGCAGGUGUGCGGAGUCUGCCUUUCCCUCCUCGGCCUUCGGUUCUCCCGCAGCGGCGCCUCCAGCCUGUCCUUUUUCGAGAAGAGCCGGUCACGGUGUCACUGGGAGAGGGGAGGCAGGCGGGUCAAAGAGGAGGGGUGCUCUGGGGCUCUCUUCCCCACCCCCCGCGCCGCGACCCGCAGUUCCAGCCCCCCUGGUUCCACGACCCCACCCCGUGGCCCGUUCCACCCAGAGGCUGAGGACACACAGGGCCACAGAGACGGACACCCCAGACCUUCGGCUUCUGCUUCCCCCCCGUCCUUUCCUUCGUGAAGCCUCGCCCCUGGAAGGGGUUUAAGAUUCUGUCCUGCGGCCCCCCUUGAGGCGGGGAUGGGAGUGCGGUAGUGUUUUAGACCGGAGCCAGGGGUCUGGAUGACCCUGGGCGAUGGGUUGCUGUGCUGCGACCCCCUCCUUUAGCCCCUGCUCAGGCUAUGAAGAGGGCUGUGGCCCAGAGCAAGGAGCUUUGUCGGCGUGUGUGUGUGUGUGUGUGUGUGUGUGUGUGUGUGUGUGUGUUUGGGGGGUGGGGUGUAGAUGGCAAGGUUCCCAACAGCUGGGGGGCCUCAGGAGCUCGUUGCUCCAGGAAGCUGGGGCUGAGGAUUCCUGGCUGUGGGGGCUCCAUCUGGCCCUCCUGCCUCUGCCUCUCCCAGGACAGGAACCAUCUGGAGGAAGGGCCUGGGUGGCCUAAGACAAGGUAAUUCCAGGCCAAGGCCACCUCAGGCAGAGCCGGGGUUGUGGGGGGAAGCCUUGACUGUCCUUCUCCUCUGUCCAGCGUCAUACCUAGAGGCUCCUGGGAGGUUUCUGUGAGUGGGGCUGGUUGCUGGGGGUGGCUCUGACCCUCCUUGUCCCUCCUAUGCAGCAGCCCCUCCCUGCUUGCCAGGGGCAGAGGCAGGGGCCCAGCUCCCCGCUGAGAAGGGAGCCGGCACAGGUGAGGAGGGGCCGGUGAGGGGUGGGGGGCCAACGGGCGGGCGGCUGAAGCUGAGCAGCUGUGAAGCUGACGACGGGUGAUCCUCGUGCGGAGCAGCCCAGGAUUUGGUGCUAAUCCUGGCAGCCGUGCCAUCCUGGCCCCGCUGAGCCGUGGACUUCUCACCUCCGGGACGCCGCACCCCCGCCUUGGAGACAGGGCUGUCCAGGGCGGUGAGGAUUCCUGAGCCUUGCGUGGUCUGUCCCCUAGACAGCUCUCCCUCCAGCCUGCUGCCAUGGGAACUCCUGCUGCCUUUGAUCCACGCGGUGCGGAUGACAGACUGGGAGAAACCCGGACUGUGGCAUGACCUCCCACCUGGGACCCUUGCACUCGGCUGCUGCCUGUCACCUGCUCCACUCAGCCUCCUGAAGUACUCAUGGGUGUGGGUCCGGGAGGUCCGUGCUUCAGGAAUGAAAGCCCCUGGGGGACUGCUGUGUGUCCUGGGCACUGAAGUGGCCACACACCCUGGAUGCUCGGUGCAGCAGACGCUGGCCUUGCCCCCGGCCCACCGGGCCUCGGGGGACAUGAACAUGUCUUGUCUCUGGUGCAGGGCGGUUGUGGUCUGACUGUCCCUGCUGAGGGCUGUGGGUCAUGUCACCCAUUUGGAGGUCUUGGGUGCCCCAGCAAUGCCCCAGCACUUCCUGUGGCUGGUCAUGCAAGCUUAGGUAUACAGUCUAUGUUUCCAGCUCCUGACUCUCCACCCCCACUCCAGUUUGAACUGUGUCUGGCAGAUACUGAAGUAGCAGCCCAGCCAUGCCCCUCUACCCUGGUCUCUCCUCAGUGGCGGCUAUUCCCCUUCACUCCCGGAUCCAAAUUUUCCUAAGGGUGGUAGGAGGUGAGGCCGACGGUGACUCUCACGCCGGCACUCGGCUGCCCCCCUGUGGCCAACGUGCGCAGCAGCACCACUUCAUCCAGUGGGAAUAUUGGGGUCAGACAGGAGUCCAGCCUGAGCCCCGAGGGGGGGAGUUUGAAAUGGAGUGAAUUUUGUCAUCGUGUGCACUUAAUUCUAGAUUGUAAACCUUCCUGAACCUCAAUCUCUUCGUCCAUAAAGUGGAGGCAAUGAUGUCACUGUAAGGAUCAAAUAGGUAACGUGCUUGACUGUAGAUAAAAGGCUUCCUACGCUGUAA